CGAACUGAUUCACUUUGAAUUUCACUGAGCUGACUACAGGAAAUCUCUCAAGCAAUUAAUCGAAAUGGGAAAAUUCAUCGUGCUUCUUUGCUUUAUGCUUCUCGCAAUGACUUUGGUCAUGGCCUGUGUACCACGCGGAGGAAUCUGCGCGAUUAGCGCUCAGUGUUGCGGACAUUUCGUGUGUAAUAAAUAUACUCUUCGUUGCACCGAAGGAGGCCCACAUGAACCUGCCCCUGCUCAAUAAUCAUAAAUGGUAUAGCUCGACCUGGACUUUGUUGUGUAGAACUAUGAUUCAAUAUUGAUUGAUUUAAAAAUAUGUGAAAAUUUACUCAAUAAUUGGAAAUAUACACUUGCUUAGUCAUUA